UGCCAGCAGCCGCGGUAAUACGGAGGGUGCGAGCGUUGUCCGGAAUCACUGGGCGUAAAGGGCGCGUAGGCGGUCUGCUAAGCGUGCGGUGAAAGCCUGGGGCUCAACCCCAGGUCUGCCGUGCGAACUGGUGGACUAGAGCACUGUAGAGGCGAGUGGAAUUCCGGGUGUAGCGGUGGAAUGCGUAGAGAUCCGGAAGAACACCGGUGGCGAAGGCGGCUCGCUGGGCAGUAGCUGACGCUGAUGCGCGACAGCGUGGGGAGCAAACAGGAUUAGAUACCCUGGUAGUCCACGCCGUAAACGAUGGGGACUAGGUGCUUGGGGGAGCGACCCCUCGAGUGCCGGCGCUAACGCAUUAAGUCCCCCGCCUGGGGAGUACGGCCGCAAGGCUGAAACUCAAAGGAAUUGACGGGGGCCCGCACA
rnacentral:rRNA from 1 species